ACAACACGCUCAUAGAUAGCCAAGUGUAAGCCCUACACCAACGGCAGUGAAAAGUGUGGUCUUUGUGACAUGGAAAGAUGGCUCAUCUGGAAAAGCAGCUUAGACUCCACCACAUGUCUAAAUUCGAGAACUGAACUUUUCAGAUCAUGUCCAUACAUGGCUAAAUAU